rnacentral:rRNA from 1 species
AAUUUUGGACAAUGGGGGAAACCCUGAUCCAGCCAUCCCGCGUGUAUGAUGAAGGCCUUCGGGUUGUAACCUUCUUUGAUGAGGGACGAAAAAAAUGACGGUACCUCAAAAACAAGCCACGGCUAACUACGUGCCAGCAGCCGCGGUAAUACGUAGGUGGCGAGCGUUGUCCGGAAUUAUUGGGCGUAAAGGGCGCGUAGGCGGUUUCUUAAGUCAGAUGUGAAAACCCGGGGCUCAACUCCGGGCAUGCAUUUGAAACUGGGGAACUAGAGUGCAGGAGAGGUAAGUGGAAUUCCUAGUGUAGCGGUGAAAUGCGUAGAGAUUAGGAGGAACACCAGUGGCGAAGGCGGCUUACUGGACUGUAACUGACGCUGAGGCGCGAAAGCGUGGGGAGCAAACAGG